CUCAUUUAACAAAGGUCAUUAGGUCAGCAGCUCAAUAGCAGCUCUUCACCUUCAAAGCUUAGUCAUAGUUAGGUUUUACUCCUUAGUAAUUAGAGUAUAUAUUAAGCCCGUCUUUUCUAUUUUAGCUCAAAUCAUCAUCAACUCAUCUUAAUCUGGUAAGUAAUUUCUAUUAUCUUGUUUUUAGAUAUUUUUCUUGUAUUGUUAUUGUCAACAACAUCUCAAUUUUGGGUUGUUGAAUAAUAGAUAUAGACCUUAAAAUUAUACAUCUUGGUGUCCAUGUCUAUGGUGUGUAAAGCUUAGCAUGAUGAUAAUGUUUUUGUAUAUAAUAAAUUUUACUUAGUGAUAUCUUUACUUAUGUUGUUUCAAUGCAAUGAAAAAUGGGUAAGUGUUCAACUCAUUGCUUUGGAUUCCAUUUGUUAGAGGUUUUUGUACAGUAAACAUCGUAACGCUCCGCAGAGAUACUGAAAAACAAGUGAUAAAAAUAAAAAUAUAAGAGACUAUUAGAUUUUAAUAGCAGUAGCCAGUAAUAUAUACCAAACUUUUCUAACCAAAUAUUUUGUACUAUAUAUGGAUCUAUUUUUGGUUUUAAAGUGAAAUAUACUUCUAAGACUUGUUCACAAUGCUUGAAUGGAAGUCUUGUUGAAACACAAUCUUGUAUCAGAUUACUAAUAACUAUUGUUAUGUAUGUGCAACAACUUCCUUUUUGGAUGGAAACUACACCUUCUGUAACGGAUGUAGAGAAGAUAAUUAAUAUUCCUUCAAUUAUGUUGACAAUAUCUCAACACGAAGGUAAAGUAACUCCACGUCAAUGCACACCUCCUAAGAAGCAAAAAAGAGCAGCUCCUCUGAUCGUUUGUAAAUCUGGAAUUACAGGUAGAGAAACAUCUCAAAUUUGGGAUCAUUUCUCUAAGUUUAUUGCUAGAGGAGGUAAAUGUAGGGCAAAAUGUAAUUAUUGUACUAAAACAUUUGCUGCUGAUAGUGUCAACGAGAUGAAUACAUUAUGGAAUCAUUUGACUGUGAAAUGUCACAAGUAUCCAUUUAAGUCCGACAAGAGACAAACAACAUUAAAACCUAUCAAAAGAGGUUGGCUAGAAGGUGUUUCAACUGAAAAAAGGGUGUUUAAUAUGGAUGAAAUUAAGAGAGCAAUUGUUAAAUUUGUAAUUAUUGAUGAAUAGUUGUUUACAACUAUUGAGGGAGAAGGAUUAAAAAAAUUAAUGGCUAAAGCCUUUCCCGAUUUUGAAGUACCUUCUUGUGUAACUAUUGCUCGACAUUGUCAAAUAAAAUAUCAAGAGGAGAAAGAAAAUCUUAAGGAGCUUAUAAAAAACCAACGUAUUUGUCUUACCAGUGAUACAAGGACGUCAAUCCAAAAUUAUACUUAUAUGGUUAUCACUGCACAUUGGAUUGAUCAUCAAUAGAAUCUACAAAAGAGAAUUCUUAAUUUUUUUCAAACACCAGAUCACAAAGGUGAGACCAUUGCCAAGGGGAUUGAGGAGUGCUUAUUAGGUUGGGGCAUUGAGAACUUGUUUAAAGUGCCCUUGGAAAUGCAACUGCAAAUGACGAUGCCAUUAAGAGUUUAAAGGAGCAUAUUGAAGAUUGGAAAGGGGUAACGUUUGAAAAUAAGUAUUUACAUGUUAGAUGUAAUGCUCAUAAAAAAAGGGUUGGAUGAACAAAUUGAUCUUAUUUCUCAUAUAAGAAGUGCUAUAAAAAAUGUUAGGCCUUCUUCUUCAAGAUCAGCUACUUUUAAGUUCUUUGUUGAGAAAGUUAAGAUGGACACUUGUGGUCUUGUAUAUCUGGAUGCUGAGACUAGAUGGAACUCGACAUACACAAUGUUGGAUAAAGCUUUGAAAUUUGAAAACACUUUUACAAGAAUGUGUGUGGAUGAUCGAAUUUAUCAAAAUCAAUGUCGAGAAAUAAGUACACCACCAAAAAAUUCAUAAAUAGAUGAUUGGAAGAAUGUGAAAGCUUUUGUGAAGUUUCUUAAUAUUUUCUAUCAGGCAACUUCAAAAUUUUCGGGCAGUUUAAAUUUUACUUCCCACUCUUUCUUUCAUGAUUUUUUCAAUCUCCAAAAUGACAUUAUCAAGUAUCCUAAACAUGAUGAUCUCAUUUUGGUUGAUAUGACAACAAAAAUGAAAUCCAAGAUGGAUAAAUAUUGGGGUAAGUUUGAGAGUAUGAAUAUGUUACUAAUAGUUGUUGUUGUGCUGGAUCCUAGAUACAAGAUGCAAUAUGCAUAGUAUAUUCUUUCUAUUUCAUAGGCUCUUUGAUGGGAAGAAUAAUGUCUGAAGAUGUGAGAGAUGUUUUGAAACUCUUAUAUAAUCACUACAAUUGUUCUUGAUUCGAAGAUCCUAACAAAAAUAUUGAAAAUGAUAAUUGUGUGAUGGGUGAAUCUAGUGCUUUGUUGCAAUCUCAGUGGGAGAAGCACAUGAAAAAAAGAGGGAUUUGUCGUAAAAAAAUCUAAUUUGGACAUAUACUUGAAAGAUAAUAUAGUAAAGAUCAACGAUUUUAAUAUUUUGAGUUGGUGGAAAGUUUCGUACAACAGAUAUUCAGUUGUUGCCAAAGUUGCUAGGGAUAUCCUUUCUAUUCUUAUUUCUAUUGUUGCAUCUGAGUCACUUUUAGUACAGGUGAUCGAAUUCUUGAUAGUUAUCGAAGUUCUUUUAUCUUCAAAUACGGUAAAAGCGCUUAUCUGCACUCAACAUUUGCUACGAUCGCCUUUUAAAGAGUGCAAGCUUGAAGAUAUUUUAGAGGAAGUCUAGAAAAUUGAGAAAAUUGAAGAAGAAUAUCCGACUCAUCUUUGAGGAUUGAUUAGCCAGUUGAUGUACUUAAACUUAACAACAUGGAACAAAUGUAUUAAUUCAUUCUUUUGUGAUUGUUAAAUAUCAAAUUACUGUUUGCUCUAAAUAGUAAUAGAACUAAGGACUAAACGUCAACUUAGUUAAUGCAUUACUAAUCAACUUAUUAAUUUAUAUUGUCUACUUUGCA